AUUGAACGCUGGCGGCAGGCUUAACACAUGCAAGUCGAACGAGUGGCGGACGGGUGAGUAAUGCCUGGGAAUCUAGCUUCUGGAGGGGGAUAACUACGGGAAACUGUAGCUAAUACCGCGUACCAUAGGAUGAGCCCAAGUGGGAUUAGGUAGUUGGUGAGGUAAAGGCUCACCAAGCCGACGAUCCCUAGCUGGUCUGAGAGGAUGACCAGCCACACUGGGACUGAGACACGGCGCAGACUCAGACGGAAGGCAGCAGUGGGGAAUAUUGCGCAAUGGGGGCGACCUGAAGCAACCAUGACGCGUGAAUGGAGAAGGCCUUCGGAUUGUAAAGUACUUUCGGUAGCGAGGCGUUAACAACAGAGGAGGCACCGGCUAACUCCGUGCCAGCAGCAACGGUAAUAC
rnacentral:rRNA from 1 species